rnacentral:rRNA from 1 species
GACGAACGCUGGCGGCGUGCUUAACACAUGCGAGUCGAGCGAUGAAGUUCCUUCGGGAAUGGAUUAGCGGCGGACGGGUGAGUAACACGUGGGUAACCUGCCUCAUAGAGGGGAAUAGCCUUCCGAAAGGAAGAUUAAUACCGCAUAAGAUUGUAGUACCGCAUGGUAUAGCAAUUAAAGGAGUAAUUCGCUAUGAGAUGGACCCGCGUCGCAUUAGCUAGUUGGUGAGGUAACGGCUCACCAAGGCGACGAUGCGUAGCCGACCUGAGAGGGUGAUCGGCCACAUUGGGACUGAGACACGGCCCAGACUCCUACGGGAGACAGCAGUGGGGAAUAUUGCACAAUGGGGGAAACCCUGAUGCAGCAACGCCGCGUGAGUGAUGACGGUCUUCGGAUUGUAAAGCUCUGUCUUCAGGGACGAUAAUGACGGUACCUGAGGAGGAAGCCACGGCUAACUACGUGCCAGCAGCCGCCGUAA